rnacentral:rRNA from 1 species
CCUACGGGUGGCAGCAGUGGGGGAUAUUGCACAAUGGGGGGAACCCUGAUGCAGCGACGCCGCGUGGGUGAAGGAGUGCUUCGGCAUGUAAAGCCCUAUCGGCAGGGAAGAAGCAAGACGGUACCUGACUAAGAAGCCCCGGCUAACUACGGGCCAGCCGCCGCGGUAAUACGGAGGGGGCGGGCGGUAUCCGGAUUCACUGGGUGUAAAGGGAGCGUAGACGGCCAUGCAAGCCAGGGGGGAAAGACCGGGGCCAAACCUCGGGACUGCCCUUGGAACUGCAUGGGUUGAGGGCGGGAGGGGCAUGCGGAAUGCGUGGUGUAGCGGUGAAAUGCGUAGAUAUCAGGCGGAACACCGGCGGCGAAGGCGGCCUGCUGGACCGCGACUGACGUUGAGGCUCGAAAGCGUGGGGAGCGAACAGGAUUAGAUACCCUUGUAGUC